ensembl:lncRNA
CAAACAGACAAACGGUUGUUCGGCUCUGGUGACAUGUAGAGGCUUCAAGCAGUUAACUGGUCCAAGUGUUGUUUCCUUCCCUCCUCCCUACCUCCUUGCUCCAGGUGGGGGUGGAUGUGAGAAAGGGCGCUCAGUCAGCGCAGCGCACCAGUCUGCGGAGAGUUAAACACUGAAAUACACAUACUGCCCCGUCCUCCAGGACCGGAAAGCCACUGCCAAAUCAUCCUACACAAAAACACAAGCAGGCCGCAGGGGGAAAUGAGCAAAGAAGGAGAGGAAGAGAAAGAAAAAGACUAAAGGAGGGGGAACUACAAAAUGACAAACACCGAGCCAUCCUCAGCGUGUGACCAUGGGACAUCACAAAAGAAAAAGAGACAGAGGAAAAAAAGAGUUUGACUUGUAGUUUUAUAACAUUUGUAAAGAAAACAUCAACUAGAAUAAGGCAUGAUUCUUCUUCCUUUUUGUUUGUUUUUUACAAAAAAAAAAAAACAUAAAUGUCAGUAAAACAAUUAAGAAGAAAAAAAAGCAACAAAAAGUGCUUCCUGUGAACUGUAAUCGCAUGAUGACUGCUGGUGCAUGACCUUUGACCUUUUGAACUGUCAUUAUCCUCAAAACUGAAGGGGUGCAAGGUACGGGGCUGGCCCAUGAUUUCACGGACCUGUGAUUUCAAGGACCUAUUCCUCCCCCCACACACCCCCUCCCCCACCACCCCCCCAACCGGAGGUGUUUGUAUCAAGUUGAGUCCAAUGACACUACAGCCAAAAAAAAGAAGUCCCUCCAUGGACGGUUCCGUACACAGCUGAGCUUCUGCUGAGCCCACCGCUGCUUCUCUCACUGGACCCCUUCCCCCCUUAUUAUUCUCAAUGUGAUAUAUGCACUCUUAUGCUACGUGGACAUGUGUCGGUGUGUGUGUAUGUGUGCGUAUGUGUGCGCGUAUUCUUCUCUGCAAGCAUGUUUUUGUUUUUUUCUUGGCCCCGGCUGGGCGCCGAGCCCCUGCCUAGCGAUUGGCUCUUUGGACCUGUGAUGUCACGGCCCGCACAGCGCCGGGAUGAGCGCCGCCCCGCUUGUUAGUGUUCCUGUCUGCGUGUGCCGUCGUCUCUUCCUUCGUGGAUGAAGGUGUUUUUUUUUUUUUUUCCCGCCUCGGUUUUCAUUCGGUGUCGUCACAGAAGGGAACUGAAUUCCUUUCACCCCUCGUGUCUUUUGGAAGAGGGGGUCGGUUGCUUGAUUGUAUUGUGCAGCAGCCCUACAACACAAAGAUUGACGCUUCUCCCCCCCGUGACCUUUUUGUACCUUCGUCCGUCCUUUUGUCCCAGUAGCGCGCGCCGUCUCGAUUUCACAGUCUUUAUCAGUAGCCUCGGUCAAUAUGCAGUAAAAUGAACAGGCCUCUUCAUCAGCAUCAAUAGCUCCUCCAUCUAAUGCUACCAGCUUUUUUUGGGCGCUCCCUCUUUAUCGGUUGGCAACGUUCUCCUCACCGUCACCCAACGUAGGUCCAUCCAUUUUAAGCCGGGUGAAGGAAGCGCAAACAACGCGAGUGAUCCAAUCAGUUUCGAGGAUUUCGGAGUUUCAAUGGUAGCAAGGGUGAAAUAAUAUUAUGCUACUACAGUACGGUAGCGUGGUACCGCGAUGAGAACGGUGCAGCUUGGACAGACAGGUAGCACUGUGAUUGUCUUAUCAACACUGACCCCUGACUUGUGAACUGUGAAGACACACAAACAAAAGCACACUGCACGCUCUCAUGUGCACAUACAAACACUAAAUCAGAAACGUAUCGCAUUGCGACGGUAUAGUUACAGCCUGGUCCGAGGGGUUGAUUUUCAAGUCAGCCACAGCAAUAAUACCUAACGAGGACACCGGCGAUGGAGGCCAGAGGGUUCUGUAGGUUCUUCGUGAAGGAUUUGGAAAAUGAAGAUCGGAGUGUGGCAGCUGCUCUGCGUGUGGAUCCGGGAUCGUUUGGAUCGUUUGUUUUUCAGCACCUAACGUAGCAAAACAUAAACCGGGAGUCUUGCUCCUGCCGUGAGGGUGAAACCACCAAGCUUACUGUAGCCUGAAUGAAUGAGACACCGAAUGAGUGGACGCAUCACACACAAACGCACAUCGUUUUCCGUUACCCGCUCCGCGCACACCAGAGCCUCAUCCGAUAUAUAGCACAUGUUUAUGACAUGUCACGUGUUUUCCACUGUUACUCCACUCAGGUUUUCAGUUCUGCUCCGUCAGAAUCAAAGUGUUUUUCCUUUUUAGAGUUCAGAGUCCUCCUCGGUAGGACCAGCGUGGGACACGCAGCGAGUGCUUCUGGAUUAGACUUUGGUUGUUGGGGCUAAAGGGAAAAGUUGGGAAGUGUAUGAUGCCGGAAAGGAUUGUGUGUGGGCGUUUGGGGGUGUGGGUGUGUGUGGUAUGUGUGGGUGUGUGUGUUUGUGGCGGUUGAUUCAAAUAAGACCAAAGAGGAGACAAAGUAUCUAGCAUGUUCUCCAGCGAGCCCUCAGCUCUUGGCCCUGUACGUACAAGCUGGCUUGGAGGGAUCCUCCUCGCUGCUAAGCGAGAAAUGCAAAGUGACGAUGAAGAAGAAUGUACCAAAAAGUAUUUGGUGAAGCAUUAUCCCCUGGAUAGGAAAAACAAGUUGAGGGACUAGUUAGCCUCUGUAUCUUGUACUGUAUCAGCACAAGAAAGAGGUUGGAUCGAGGUAUUCGCGUGGAGAAUGACUUCUCGGAGUUAUAUACAGUUGUUUGUCUGCCAGUGGCAGAGGGUCGUCUUUCCCCCACGUGGGAUCUUAACUGCACACGCAGGUGAGAUGGAGACACGAGUCAGAAGACAAAAUGUUUGGUGCCUGCGCAUGUUGCAGUGCAAGGCCACAUUGGAUCCAAGUCCGAUGACACUGUUGACUGCUUCCUUAGUCUUUAGGGUGAAUCCCUUCACCAUACAGCUUGUUGGCCUUGCGCAUUAAGGUUACUAUUGGACAUUAAAGUAAUAAUUCAGCUUGUUUGCUGCCCCCCGGUGGUUGAUAGAACUCAUGGCGGCAAAACAACAAAGACUAAAUCUUAAGGAUUAUAACUCUGAGCGUUUGACCAUUUAUUUGAUUUCCACUCAAUUUAAACUCAUCAAUUGGAACGUGCUCUAUAAUCCAUUCAACUCCACAGUGUGUGUGUGUGUGUGUGUGUGUGUGUGUGUGUGUGUGUGUGUGUGUGUGUGUGUGUUUGAGUGUGUGUGUGUGUGUGUGUGUGUGUGUUUGAGUGUGUGUGUACGUGCGUGCAAUGGUGCUGUGUUCCAAACCCAGUUGGAUCAGAGGGGAAGAAGAGAGAACGUGUGACCUGAGAGGACGUGUAACCUUCGACGACGUAUUUAAAAAAAACAAAAGAGUAUUGUAAAAUUUUAACUGUCGCGAAAGAAUAGAGAUCACCUAUACUCCUUUAGAAUGGAUACAUGACAAUGUAAACGCAAUAUCAUACUACUAUAUCCUACGGAAUGCAACUGCGCACAUGCACAAAAAAAAUGUUUUUAUGAAAAUAUAUGUAUAAAUAUAUGACAAAAUAUAUUUAAUUAGAAUGCUAUGCACCCUCAUAGAGUUGUUAUGGAUGUUCUUUAAGCAUUAUCUAGAGUAGGCCAACGCCCACAUCAUGGGGAAUGUAGAGGCUUUGUAGCUAUUAACACUUGUUUUCUUUUCUUUUUGUAAUGUCCGGGAGCGAGGAUAAACAAACGUCAAUAUGUAUACAAGCCUUUCAAUCAGUCAUUCGGACAUGAAAAUAUGUAUAGAUCAUCUUACCCUGUACACCAGCUCAAACCAUUUACAAGAAAUAAUAAACAAAGAUGUGACAUAAAUGUUGGGUCCUGUUUUGGCAAAAAAGUGAAAUUAGGUUUUUUUAUAUAUAUAAUACUCCUACAUGGACAUUUGUAUUCGGUGUAAGUUUGUUUAUUUGUGG